GGAUUAUUAAGCCAUGCAUGUCUAAGUAAAAGCAAAUUUUUACAGCGAAACUGCGAAUGGCUCAUUAAAUCAGUUAUGAUCUACAUGACAAAUACUUUACUACUGGAUAACCGUGGUAAUUCUAGAGCUAAUACAUGCAGAAAAGGCCUGACUUCGGGAGGGCUGCACUUAUUAGAUCAAAACCAUCCUGGGUAAAACCAGUUCUAUGGUGAUUCAUAAUAAUUAAGCUGAUCGCAUGGCCUUGCGCCGGCGACGGUACAUUCGAUUUUCUGCCCUAUCAGGCUGUUGAUUGUAAGGUAGUGGCUUACAAUGGCGACCACGGGUAACGGGGAAUUAGGGUUCGAUUCCGAAGAGGGAGCCUGAGAAACGGCUACCACAUCCAAGGAAGGCAGCAGGCGCGCAAAUUACCCAAUCCCAACUCGGGGAGGUAGUGACAAUAAAUAACAAUGCAGGGCCUUCUGGCCUUGCAAUUGGAAUGAGUACAAUUUAAAUCCCUUAACGAGGAUCAAUUGGAGGGCAAGUCUGGUGCCAGCAGCCGCGGUAAUUCCAGCUCCAAAAGCGUAUAUUAAAGUUGUUGCAGUUAAAACGUCCGUAGUCGAAUUUACGCCUGGUGGCUCGGCCGCUGGUCCUUCAUUGGGCCAGAUUGGCUGUAGUCCCGGCGAUAAAGCUUGGAUCAGGUAGGGUUGGUUUCGGCCGGCUCUGCUCUAUGCCCAAGCGUAUUACCAUGAGCAAAUCAGAAUGCUCAAAGUAGGCCUAAGCGCCUGAAUGUGUUAGCAUGGAAUAAUGAAAUAGGACUCGAGUCUUGUUUUGUUGGUUUACUUGACAUUGAGAAAUGAUGAAUAGGAACGGUUGGGGGCAUUUGUAUUUGGCCGCUAGAGGUGAAAUUCUUGGAUUGGCCGAAGACAAACUACUGCGAAAGCAUUUGACCCAGGACGUUUUCAUUGAUCAGGGACUAAAGUUGAGGGAUCGAAGACGAUUAGAUACCGUCGUAGUCUUAACCACAAACUAUGCCGACUAGCGAUUGGGCCUUGACCUUUGGUCAGGUUCAGCAGCUUAGCGAAAGUAAAGUCUUUGGGUUCUGGGGGGAGUAUGGGACGCAAGGCUGAAACUUAAAGGAAUUGACGGAAGGGCACCACCAGGAGUGGAGCCUGCGGCU
rnacentral:rRNA from 1 species